UUUAUGCACAGUUUACUGCACCAUGCGCACCAGUCAUGUUGUGCUGUCCCACAGCCCUCAAUUCUUUGGUGCAAAAGCAUGCCGCUGCACAACAGUUCUCAAUUGUAGCAUGGUGUAGGCGAUGUGCCACUGCGUUGCAGGGAACAGCUGCACCUGCUCGUUAGCUGGUGCUGCUGAGGUUUGCAGCACCAUGCAAACGAUGCUCACAGGGGUGAUGUUUGCAGACACAGAGGGCACUUCCAGUGGGUGUGCAUAUGCUCCGUAACCUCUUAAGCUUGAAGGAGCUUGAAGGUUUCAACAUGCAGCCAAAAAAGUGUCCAGCACAUUGAUAUUUGUUGCGGGCACUGUUACUUUAAAACCAUUAAUAUGUAGUUGGCGGGUAACGUGGAUCAGGUAUGCACUAAUCAAUGUACUAAUUAGCCGACAAUCACAGAUGAGCGGCUAUAGACUUACCGGCUAAAAGAACAUGUUAAUUCUCACUCAAACACAUGCAGACAAGCUUUAUUUGCGGGCAGGCAGCAAAAAACUUGUUACUUUCACUUGCCAGUGUAGCGACUUUGCAGUGGUGACGGCAUCCUAAAACACGGCAAGUCCGCCAGCCAGUUUCUCCAUCAGUCCCCACUUCUCUGCAAAUGCCCUGAUGAUGGUCAACACACAAGCCAUGUCAGAUACGGAAGGGCCAUCAUCCAUGUCGUCAUCCGUGACGAUGACGUGGAAGUGCUAGAAGCUAUGGGAGCAGGAAACACGUCAUGGCUACCGUGUUUUGACGUCGCUAUUGGUGGCAAUGCAGUACGGGAGAGUACAAAUGGGACAUUGCUUUCCACUAUUUUUAUGACCAAUGAGCUCAAGACAUCGACUUUUAUCUGGAGUUCAGGACCUGUCAUUGCACUGUACUCUGCCUCUCAAGCUUAUGCAGUCCAACUCGAGCUAAAGGUGGCCAAAGAACGUAAUCGGAAGAGGUGACGAGACGAAUGCGUUCUUCGUGCUUAGGAAGAGAAUUGCCAGUGGCAUCCAGUUGUGUGAGGCGCUGACGACAAGAGAUAGAAGCGGACGCCCAAGAUAAGAAGUCCCACCCCAAGAUGAGUUCAUGGGUCACUCACGAAAUACCGCAAAAACAAUGUGGUGACGAAUUUUGUCUAUGGACACACGAACUGUGCGAUUGGACGAAUAAUAACAUUGGUCGCUGCACAAAGAGAAAGGCUGGAGUACGGCAAUUCUUGUGUUUUAUAGAGUCCCGAACAGUCACAUGGCAAUGAUCGCCAAGCGUCUUGUAACAUGGAGCCACCUCAGAAUUGCACCAAACAAAGAUGAUGGAUGCAGCCAGCCUUGCCAGAUAACUGCAUUUUGACUAUUCUUUAUUGUUCACAUUUUUUUUGCAAAUAGAAUUCUUGCGGAGAAUUUUAUCUUCAAUGGCCUUCACUUGACGUCAUCUGCUACAACUGGCACAUGAGUUAACUCCAUAGCGCACCACUAGGAUGGAGACACUGUGUCGUGGGAUGCUUCCUUAAAAGUGGAUGAGAAGAUUCCAAAGGAAAAGUGUGAGAUGGUCACAGUAAUAACCAAGGCAUUUGGCAUGGGAAUAACCCAGCUAUAAAGGUAUUAUCAGAUGUGGACAGGCAUAUAAUCCUAAAUGGCACCUUGCACGAGUCCCAAGUGUCAAAUGUAAUGAGUAUCGUGCAUUGAAAGGGCCAAGGAUGUUUUGUACAUGCAAUGGAGCACUAUACGCAUUUGAUAGCAGUUGCUUAGAUGUACCAGAUUAACAGGAACCAAACGAACUCCCUUAGACAUAAGCAUGCAGCAAAUUCAAGGACUAGAUGAAGUUUCAAAGAAGUAUCUGUGUUUCAUGUAGUAUAGGAGUGAAUGACCUUUGUGCGUGAGAUCAGUUACAAAAACACUAAAUGAAUGCAGUACAGUGUCUGUAUCAUAUCAUAUGCAGGCCAAACUAGCCUGGAGUUUCAGCGUUCCUUGUCAGUUCAUUUAAAUAGGCACUACAUUGUUCAAAGUGCAAUAUUGUUCUACAAAACAUAAUAUGCAAGAUGUAGCAUGCUAACCCUCGUGGCUCAACAACUACUGAACCGAAACCUCAAUGAGCAGUGAAGCUUCCUUGUAAUUUUCAUCGUAACCAUACUUUUGCUCUUGAAAGUGAACCCCUUUAGUGAAUUUGCUUGUGUAUUAAUUUUUCUUUAGGCAAGUAUUUUUUUACAUGUUAAUGUCUCAAUCCUGCUUGCUCUUUCCGGAGCUAAAACAAAAUGCCUCUUAUUUCAAUUUGAUCUUUUGACCUAGGAAGCCAUCAUCUGGUGCUGUGUACAGCAAGCACAUGCUUCGGGCAAGGAGGGAGCCAGCACCAUAUCUACAUCAGCAAGAACAUCGGUGCUCAAAAUAAACAUUUUCUUUGCAAA